UACGUAGGAGGCAAGCGUUGUCCGGAAUCACUGGGCGUAAAGCGCGUGUAGGCGGAUCGCUAAGUCUGUGGUGAAAGCGCCUGGCUUAACCGGGCGAGGUCCAUGGAAACUAGCGGUCUGGAGGCCGGUAGAGGGGGGUGGAAUUCCGGGUGUAGUGGUGAAAUGCGUAGAGAUCCGGAGGAACACCAGUGGCGAAGGCGGCCCUCUGGCUCGACCCUGACGCUGAGGGGCGAAAGCGUGGGGAGCGAACGGG
rnacentral:rRNA from 1 species